UGGGGAAUAUUGGACAAUGGGCGCAAGCCUGAUCCAGCCAUGCCGCGUGUGUGAAGAAGGCCUUAGGGUUGUAAAGCACUUUCAGUGGGGAGGAAAGGGUGUUGUGUUAAUAGCACAGCAUUUUGACGUUACCCACAGAAGAAGCACCGGCUAACUCCGUGCCAGCAGCCGCGGUAAUACGGAGGGUGCAAGCGUUAAUCGGAAUUACUGGGCGUAAGGCGCACGCAGGCGGCUUUUUAAGUCGGAUGUGAAAGCCCCGGGCUCAACCUGGGAAUUGCAUCUGAUACUGGGAAGCUAGAGUAUGUGAGAGGGGGGUAAAAUUCCAAGUGUAGCGGUGAAAUGCGUAGAGAUUUGGAGGAAUACCAGUGGCGAAGGCGGCCCUCUGGGCACAAAUACUGACGCUCAGGUGCGAAAGCGUGGGGAGCAAAACAGGAUUAGAUACCCUGGUAGUCCACGCCGUAAACGAUGUCUACUAGAUGUUCGUGGUCUUGUACCGUGAGUAUCGCAGCUAACGCAUUAAGUAGACCGCCUGGGGAGUACGGUCGCAAGAUUAAAACUUAAAUGAAUUGACGGGGUCAUAGCUGUUUCCU
rnacentral:rRNA from 1 species